rnacentral:tRNA from 1 species
GGAGGGGUGGCUGAGUGGUUUAAAGCACUGGUCUUGAAAACCAGCAUGUCCGCAAGGGCAUCGCGAGUUCGAAUCUCGCCCCCUCCG